rnacentral:rRNA from 1 species
CAAUAGCGUAUAUUAAAGUUGUUGCAGUUAAAAAGCUCGUAGUUGGAUCUCGGGCCGUCGCCGGCGGUGCGGGUCUACGCCCGCCUACUGCCGCGCGACGCCUAACCGGCGGGACGCGUCGGGUGCCCUUGACUGGGUCGCCCGCCGCACCCGCCCAGUUUACUUUGAAAAAAUUAGAGUGUUCAAGGCAGGCUCCGACGCCUGGAUAGUGGUGCAUGGAAUAAUGGAAUAGGACCUCGGUUCUAUUUUGUUGGUUUUCGGAAGACGAGGUAAUGAUUGAGAGGGACAGACGGGGGCAUUCGUAUGGCGGUGUUAGAGGUGAAAUUCUUGGAUCGCCGCCAGACGGACUACUGCGAAAGCAUUUGCCAAGAAUGUUUUCAUUAAUCAAGAACGAAAGUCAGAGGUU